AGAGUUUGAUCAUGGCUCAGGAUGAACGCUGGCGGCGUGCUUAACACAUGCAAGUCGAACGAACCUUCGGGUUAGUGGCGGACGGGUGAGUAACGCGUGGGAAUCUGCCCUCAGGAGGGGGAUAACGGCUGGAAACGGCCGCUAAUACCCCAUAUGCCGAGAGGUGAAAUGAAUUUCGCCUGAGGAUGAGCCCGCGUCUGAUUAGCUAGUUGGUGAGGUAAGAGCUCACCAAGGCAUCGAUCAGUAGCUGGUCUGAGAGGAUGAUCAGCCACACUGGGACUGAGACACGGCCCAGACUCCUACGGGAGGCAGCAGUGGGGAAUUUUCCGCAAUGGGCGAAAGCCUGACGGAGCAACGCCGCGUGAGGGAUGAAGGCCUCUGGGCUGUAAACCUCUUUUCUCAAGGAAGAAGAUCUGACGGUACUUGAGGAAUAAGCCACGGCUAAUUCCGUGCCAGCAGCCGCGGUAAUACGGGAGUGGCAAGCGUUAUCCGGAAUUAUUGGGCGUAAAGCGUCCGCAGGCGGCCCUUCAAGUCUGCUGUUAAAACGUGGAGCUUAACUCCAUCAUGGCAGUGGAAACUGUUGGGCUUGAGUGUGGUAGGGGCAGAGGGAAUUCCCGGUGUAGCGGUGAAAU
rnacentral:rRNA from 1 species